AACGAACGCUGGCGGCAGGCCUAACACAUGCAAGUCGAACGGGAUCUUCGGAUCUAGUGGCGGACGGGUGAGUAACGCGUGGGAACGUACCCUUUGGUUCGGAAUAGCCCUGGGAAACUGGGAGUAAUACCGGAUACGGUCGAGAGACGAAAGAUUUAUCGCCGAAGGAUCGGCCCGCGUUGGAUUAGGUAGUUGGUGGGGUAAUGGCCUACCAAGCCGACGAUCCAUAGCUGGUUUGAGAGGAUGAUCAGCCACACUGGGACUGAGACACGGCCCAGACUCCUACGGGAGGCAGCAGUGGGGAAUCUUAGACAAUGGGGGAAACCCUGAUCUAGCCAUGCCGCGUGAGCGAUGAAGGCCUUAGGGUUGUAAAGCUCUUUCAGUGGGGAAGAUAAUGACGGUACCCACAGAAGAAGCCCCGGCUAACUCCGUGCCAGCCGCCGCAGUAA
rnacentral:rRNA from 1 species